AGUGAACGCUGGCGGUAGGCCUAACACAUGCAAGUCGAACUGCAGCACAGUAAUAUCUUGCUCUUACGGGUGGCGGGUGGCGGACUGGUGAGUAAUACAUCUGAAUCUCCUUUUUCGUGGGGGAUAACGUAGGGAAACUUACGCUAAUACCUCAUACUACCUACCGUUGUAAGCAUGUGAUCUUUGGACCUUCUGCGAUUGAAUGAGCCGAUGUCGGAUUAGCUAGUUGACGUGGUAAAGGCCCACCAAGGCGACGAUACGUAGCUGGUCUGAGAGGAUGAUCAGCCACACUGGAACUGAGACACGGUACAGAGUCCUACGGGAGGCAGCAGUGGGGAAUAGUGGACAAGGGGCGCAAGACUGAUGCAGACAUACCGCGUGGGUGAAGAAGGAAUUCGGGUUGUAAAGCGAUUUUGUUGGGAAAGAAAAGCAGCAGGUUAAGACAACGAUGAAAUGACGGUACCAAAAGAAGAAGCAACGGCUAAAUUCGUG
rnacentral:rRNA from 1 species